GUGCCAGCAGCCGCGGUAAUACGGAGGGUGCAAGCGUUGUCCGGAAUCACUGGGCGUAAAGGGUGCGCAGGCGGGGCAGCAAGUCGGAGGUGAAAGCCCGUGGCUCAACCACGGAAGUGCCUUCGAAACUGUUGCUCUUGAGUCCCGGAGAGGUUGCCGGAAUUCGUGGUGUAGCGGUGAAAUGCAUAGAUACUACCAAGAACCCCGAUUGCGUAGGCAGCUCGCUGGGCCGAAACUGACGCUGAGGCACGAAAGCGUGGGGAGCGAACAGGAUUAGAAACCCUGGUAGUCC
rnacentral:rRNA from 1 species